GACGAACGCUGGCGGCGCGCCUAACACAUGCAAGUCGAGCGAUGAAACUUUAACAGCACCCUUCGGGGCGAAGAUAAAGUGGAUUAGCGGCGGACGGGUGAGUAACACGUGAGUAACCUGCUUCAGACAUGGGGAUAGCCUCGGGAAACCGGGAUUGAUACCAAAUAAAAUCACAAUGACACAUGUCAUAACGAUCAAAACUCCGGUGGUCUAAGAUGGACUCGCGUCCCAUUAGCUAGUUGGUAGAGUACAGGCCUACCAAGGCGACGAUGGGUAGCCGGCCUGAGAGGGUGAACGGCCACACUGGAACUGAGAAACGGUCCAGACUCCUACGGGAGGCAGCAGUGGGGAAUAUUGCACAAUGGCGGGAACUCUGAUGCAGCGACGACGCGUGAACGAAGAAGGCUUUAGAGUCGUAAAGUUAUUUUAUAUGGGACGAUAAUGACGGUACCAUAAGAAAAAGCCCCGGCUAACUACGUG
rnacentral:rRNA from 1 species